rnacentral:tRNA from 1 species
AGCCGAAUAGCUUAAGUGUAAAGCACAAAUUUUUUAAGUUUGGGAUAUUUUAGAUUUUGGCUA